UCCUGAUGAGGAAGUAUGGCCGUGUCUUACUCUCUGCCCUGGCUCCAGAACCUGCAAAGGUUGAACCCACUGGAGCCAGCAGAGGGAAAAGAUGAAAUGCUGCUCCCGAAGGAGCUGUCUGAUGGGA